UGUGAACGCUGGCGGUAGGCCUAACACAUGCAAGUCGAACGGCAGCACAGAGGAGCUUGCUCCUUGGGUGGCGAGUGGCGGACGGGUGAGGAAUACAUCGGGAUCUACUCUGUCGUGGGGGAUAACGUAGGGAAACUUACGCUAAUACCGCAUACGACCUACGGGUGAAAGCAGGGGACCUUCGGGCCUUGCGCGAUUGAAUGAGCCGAUGUCGGAUUAGCUAGUUGGCGGGGUAAAGGCCCACCAAGGCGACGAUCCGUAACUGGUCUGAGAGGAUGCUCAGCCACACUGGAUCUGAGACACGGUCCAGACUCCUACGGGAGGCAGCAGUGGGGAAUAUUGGACAAUGGGCGCAAGCCUGAUCCAGCCAUACCGCGUGGGUGAAGAAGGCCUUCGGGUUGUAAAGCCCUUUUGUUGGGAAAGAAAUCCAGCUGGCUAAUACCCGGUUGGGAUGACGGUACCCAAAGAAUAAGCACCGGCUAACUUCGUGCCAGCAGCCGCAGUAA
rnacentral:rRNA from 1 species